GUGCAGUGGUGCAAUCUCGGCUCACUGCAACCUCUGCCUCCCGGGUUCAAGUGAUUCUCCUGCCUCCACCACCUGAGUAGCUGGGACCACAGGCGCACACCACCACACCCGACUAAUUUUUGGAUUUUUAGUAGAGAUGGGGUUUCACCAUACUGGUCAGCCUGGUCUUGAACUCCUGACCUCAUGAUCCGCCCGCCUCGGCCUCCCAAAGUGCUGGGAUUACAGGCGUGAGCCACGGCGCCCAGCCAGAACAAGUUCAUAUUAAGUGAGUGUUGAGCAUUGCUGUUAGACCUGGAUUUCAUUCCUAGCUCUGUUUCAUCUUAGAAAUGUUAUUUCACCUUUCUGAGUCUGUAAACUGAUGGAGUAAUUCCUGCCUUAUAGAAGGGUUGUGAGGACUGACUGAGGUUGUCAAGGUGAAACAUUUUGCUUAGAGUAUGGGCCACAGUCAGUUCCCACCAAACAGUAGUUAUUAUAAAUGUUAUAUCCCCGUGUUCCUGCCUGUUUCUAUUAAUAGCUCACAUUAUACACUGACCACACUCUGCGCAUAGAAUUGUGUUUUACUUUUCUCAUUUUCCCUCUUUGUUUCAGAAAGUUUAUUCUUUUGCUCGCAAUUAUCCUAUUUAUAGAUCAUAGGUGUUUUUACUUCAUUUUAAAAAACACAUCAAUUUUUUGUAAGCAAUCCAGAUGUGUGUAUGCUUUAUAAGCAUUUAAAAAUCUGUUUCAGAGCCAACACAUCCAGAAAGAUUUUUGCAGGGGGCAGAGGAUGUCAAAGCAGCUCGAGAUUUCUCAGGGUAGCAGGGAACCCAGUGUACUUUUCCUGCCAGACACACACAGUUCCCUAAACCCUGGGUUUCCUGCUAUGUUUUUCUUGCUUCUAAUCGGCCUGCCAGCUUUUCCAGCAUCUCCUGGGUUUACUGAAAAGAUCUUAAGUUGGGAAGUUGAAACGCUGACCCAGGUGUGUUUGCCAACAGGCAGAAUCAACAACAGGGAGAAUCAACAACAGGGAGAAUCAACUCAGUGCGGAGGUGUCGGGUGCUUUUUGUGUGUGGAGCCCUGAUGAGGAAACACAAGCCAAGUAGAAACAGUCCGUGCCCCAGAUGGGUCCACAGCCUUUGGGGGACUGUGACAUCAUCACGGCAGGACGGGUGCUCUGUAAUCGUUACCUACCAGGUGUCUUGGGAGCAGAGGAGGUGGCUCCCCACAAGGUCACGUUGUGCUGAUGUGAUGGGUGAGAACGGUGAACGCCAGGCUCGUCAAGCUUUCCAAUUUGAGUCUUCAGAUAGCCAGAAGCUGUGAAGGGGCAGCCCCGUCACCAGACACAAUCCUUGCAAAGGGACAGCCUCCAUGAGCCUCCAUGGAAGACUGACAGACCCACACAGGGGAGAAUAAAUCAACCUGCAAAUGAAGCA